UGUUUUUACCUUCUUCAACAAAAGUGGCACCCUCCCAAAAGGGAAUGCACCUUCUCAUCUUGAAACCAUUAAGCAAGCCAUUCAUUAAGCAAGCAGAUCUUUACUUUUUUUUUUUUUCUUUUCUUGAGACAGAGUCUCACUUUGUCACUCAGGCUGGAGUAUAGUGGCUUGAUCUCAGCUCACUGCAACCUCUGCCUCCUGGACUCAAGCUGUCCUUCCAUCUCAGCCUCCUGCAUAGCUGGGACUACAGCUCUUUCUUUACCAGGUCUCCAAACUGUCACAGAGCCUAGCUCUUCCUGCACAUUGAACUGGACUUUGGGGGGAUCUGUCCAGCUGCAACUAAACUCCUCUUUGGAUCCUAACAUCCAAGAGAUUGAGUGGAAUGGAAAUUCUGAGAACGAGAAAAAAGAAAUAAAACGGUUUCUGAUGUCCUGGAAGCCUAAUAUCCCUAAUCCUCAUUGGCAUGAGCUUAAAGACAAAUACAAGCACAGGUUCCACCUGUUGGAGAUGGUUUUCUUGAGCAUCAGGAAUCUCACUGUGGAAAUGAGUGGAGUACAUGCAGCAACAAUCAAGUUCUACUCAGGAGAAUCCCAGGAAGAAGGCUUUAGAUUCUGCACAUAUGGUAAGGUGAGGGGCCAUGUCCCAAUCAGGCA
rnacentral:lncRNA from 10 species